rnacentral:rRNA from 1 species
UUCGUAGGUGGCCAACUAAGUCAGACGUGAAAUCCCUCAGCUUAACUGGGGAACUGCGUCUGAGACUGGAUGGCUUGAGUGCAGGAGAGGAACGCGGAAUUCCAGGUGUAGCGGUGAAAUGCGUAGAUAUCUGGAGGAACACCGGUGGCGAAGGCGGCGUUCUGGACUGCAACUGACACUGAGGAACGAAAGCCAGGGGAGCAAACG